rnacentral:rRNA from 1 species
AUUGAACGCUGGCGGCAGGCCUAACACAUGCAAGUCGAGCGGGGUUUUCGGACCUAGCGGCGGACGGGUGAGUAAUGCGUAGGAAGCUACCCGAUAGAGGGGGAUACCAGUUGGAAACGACUGUUAAUACCGCAUAAUGUCUACGGACCAAAGUGUGGGACCUUCGGGCCACAUGCUAUCGGGUGCGCCUACGUGGGAUUAGCUAGUUGGUGGGGUAAUGGCUCACCAAGGCGACGAUCCCUAGCUGGUUUGAGAGGAUGAUCAGCCACACUGGAACUGAGACACGGUCCAGACUCCUACGGGAGGCAGCAGUGGGGAAUAUUGGACAAUGGGCGCAAGCCUGAUCCAGCCAUGCCGCGUGUGUGAAGAAGGCCUUCGGGUUGUAAAGCACUUUCAGUAGGGAGGAAGAGUUGAGUGUUAAUAGUACUCAGCUUUGACGUUACCUACAGAAGAAGCACCGGCUAACUCUGUGCCAGCCGCCGCGGUAAUAC